rnacentral:rRNA from 1 species
UACGUAGGGGGCAAGCGUUGUCCGGAUUUAUUGGGCGUAAAGAGCGUGUAGGCGGCUAGGUAGGUCCGUUGUGAAAACUCGAGGCUCAACCUCGAGACGUCGAUGGAAACCAUCUGGCUAGAGUCCGGAAGAGGAGAGUGGAAUUCCACGUGUAGCGGUGAAAUGCGUAGAGAUGUGGAGGAACACCCGUGGCGUAGGCGGCUUUCUGGGACGGUACUGACGCUGAGACGCGAAAGCGUGGGGAGCGAACAGG